rnacentral:tRNA from 1 species
GCCAGCAUGGUGUAGUGCUUUGAGUGUUAGACUCUGACUCUGGAGGUCAGGGUUCGAAUCCCCGCUGAGCU